UCCUUUGCAGAGGCAGCGCGGGCGCGGGAGCCCUUCCACUACGAUUACGAGUCGCUGCGGCUGGCGGGGCUGAUCCUGAGCAUCGUCAUGUUCGUGCUGGGGGUGCUGAUCGCCCUCAGUAAGAAAUUCAAGUGCAAAAAGGCCGAGCCCAGCGCCCCCGAGAGCGCCAAGAGCAGCGCUCCCGCGGCCUCGGCGUAGCCCCGCCCCCUCCCGGAAUGAAGCCCCGCCCACCCGGACUAAGCCCCGCCCACCCGGGCUAAGCCCCGCCCCCAGUGCAUGAAACCCCCCCCCCAAAAAAGUUUGGGGGGAAAUUUGGGGGACCCCCCCCCCCCUGCACGGAGCCAAGGACCCCCCAAAAACCCCAAAAAACCCCAAAAAACCCCAAAAAAAACCCAAAAAAACCCCAAAUUUUGGGGCCCCUCCCCCACUCAACCCCCCCCAAAAAUUUGGGGACCCCUCCCCCACUCACCUCACGCCCUCGGGACCCCCCCAAAAUGUCGGGGGGCCCCCCCAAGAUGCACUUUGACACCUGGGAGAGCCCGAAAAGGCGGGGACCCCCCCAAAAACGCACUUUGAUGGCGGGGACGCCCCGAAAAAUCGGGGAACCCCGAAAAAAAUCACCCGGGGACCCCAAAAUGAUGGGGAACCCCCCCCAAAAAAAUUGGGGACCCCAAAAAAAUGGGGACCCCCCCAAAACGUCCCAAAAUCCCGGGGGGAGCCCCGGAAAUGCACUUUGAGACCCCAAAUUGGGGACACCCGAAAAAGGGACCCCAAAAUUGGGGGGACCCCGAAAAUGGGGGGGAGGGGAGGUUUGGGGGGCCCCCCCGGAGUUUUGGGGUCCCCCCCAAAUGUUGGGGUCCCCCCGCGGUGAAAUAAAGGAGAGGUUUGGAGACGGCC